AUGAAGGGAUCAGAUGCACCAAGAUUGAAGACAAAAAAUGUGAAUUCUAAAAGAAUUUUCAUCUCAUCCUUCACACUAAACUGGUUAACCCUCACUUACAAGCCACGACUGCAGGCUCAGACCACCUUCAUUAAUUUCGCUGUCACCAGGGACAGGCUGAAAGACCAGCUGUUGGCUGAGGUUGUUAAUGCAAGACUCAAAAAAACAUAAGUGCUAAGCCAACUCGAACAACAGAAAAGUACAUAAUUCCCCAAGGAACUAGAAAAUUCAACUGAAAUGACUGGUGAACCUCCUACAAGGAUGCUGGCUAAUUUCCAUGCUGCUCUCCAUGGUUUUGACCAGGUAAAAGUAAACUAAUUUUUUUUCCCUUUUGUUUGCUUUAAUUACUCCUUUCCCUGUGGGGACAAGUAGUAGCAUUGAUGACCAUUGAGCGGGAGGCCAGGACUUGGGACCCUUGUGUUUCCCAACUAACCUAACAGCUGCAGGGUGCCAGCCCUCUGUGCCCUGCACUGCCUCUGUUUCCCAUCAGCGUUGGGCAGAAGGAAAGGUGUGGCAAUAACACAAACAUUUGUACUAUUCAAUGUAGACAUGCACAGGUAUGCAUGCAAAGAUAGAAAGAGUAUUUAUUGCACCAGCUUUAGCCAGUGGUGCACUUAUGGAAAAAAACAAACAACUGUGCAUGCUCUAAAGUUGGAGCUCUUUCAUUCAAUGGUACUCACAUAUUUUGCUCUGUUCUAAAUUUGCCUAAAUGCAUGGUCAUGACCACUCUCCCACAGAGUGGAUUUACAAACCUGGGUGUUCAGGCAAUGGCCCAGUACCCUCUGUAUGGGUUCCUGCAGUCAGGCAUAAGGAAA
rnacentral:lncRNA from 1 species